AAGUCGUAACAAGGUUUCCGUAGGUGAACCUGCGGAAGGAUCAUUACAGAGAAUCUGCCCCCGGCCGGAUCUCCCCACCCUUUGUUUACCAUACCUUUGUUGUUUUGGCAGGCCCGCCCCGGCCGGCCGGCCUCUGGCUGGCCAGCGUCUGCCAGAAGACCCCAAACUCUUGUUUUAUUGUCGUCUGAGUACUAUAUAAUAGUUAAAA
rnacentral:misc_RNA from 1 species